rnacentral:rRNA from 1 species
CUACGGGCGGCAGCAGUGAGGAAUUUUGCGCAAUGGGGGAAACCCUGACGCAGCAACGCCGCGUGAGCGAAGAAGGCCUUCGGGUCGUAAAGCUCUGUCAAGUGGGAAAAAAAUCUUUUGAUCAAUAGUCAAAAGACUUGAUGGUACCACUGGAGGAAGCACCGGCUAACUCCGUGCCAGCAACCGCGGUAAUACGGAGGGUGCAAGCGUUGUUCGGAUUUACUGGGCGUAAAGAGCGUGUAGGCGGUUUAGCAAGUCAGAUGUGAAAGCCCUGGGCUCAACCCGGGAAGUGCAUUUGAAACUGCUUCACUAGAGUAUGGGAGAGGAGAUUGGAAUUCCUGGUGUAGAGGUGAAAUUCGUAGAUAUCAGGAGGAACACCCGUGGCGAAGGCGAUUCUCUGGACCAAUACUGACGCUGAGACGCGAAAGCGUGGGGAGCAAACAGGAAUAGAUACCCCGGUAGUC